GGAGAACAGACACCCAAGGCGCGAUACAUAUGCAGAGAAAGUCUCUUACAUCGUGAAGUAGACUCACCUGAGCUCUGAAGCAAUCCAUUUAACGGGAGGAAAGGAGACUUGGGCCAGUGAGAGGAAAGGGGCAGGGGACUGAGCCGCCGUUGUUGCCACCCCACUGUGCACGCCCCUGCCACUCCACUCCUUGAGCUCCUUAGCUAUAAAAGAUGAAUCCCAAACAGGAAAUUGCCAGCCAUUCAUUCUGGAAUCGGCUCAACAUGAAGAAUCUACAGAGAGACCAGAGAUGCUAUUUGAUGGCAAGGCCGGAACCAACCCUGGAUGGGGCACCAAGGCAUCACAGAACACAUUCAUUCAUACAAACUGAGUGAAUUUGGAAUUGCACAUCAAAACAAGAUGUCUUCAGAAAACAGCCACUUGAAAAUGGAGAGAACAUGCAAACUGCACACAGCCAGUGCCCAAGCCAGGAACCCACCACAUUAUUACAAUCAGAUCUGACAUUUGAGCUUGUUAAACUCAAGCCAUACCUGAAAAUUGAUCAGACUAUAAGACGAACACUGAUGGGGUAAGCAUCAGUCGAGAGAUUCGGACUCCUGUGAAUGAGGUCAGCAGACUCUUUUACUGUAUUUGUUAUUGUAAUUUUAGAGUAACAACUAUGCUGAAAUUAUGGCAGAAUCCUAGAAGUCAGUGUAGAUUGGUAAAGGAAGAAACUGGAGAUGGCACUAGGGGUCAGUGGGAAGUGGGAGACUCGGAGUGGACAGAGUUUCAAGGCAGACUGGGAGUUAAUGUCCAAACUAGGAGAAGCAGACACUCCAGGAGACACCAGGAUUAAGUGUGAACUGGGAAAAGUGGAUAGUCCGGACACAUGAGGAGUCACUUCAAAGAGAGAGAAAUGGAGUGUCAAUGAGAUUCUGGGAGUCGGGGACAAAAUUGGGAGGACUGAAGUCUUCAGGAGAAGAGGAAAUAGUGGCAGUCUGUGGAUGGAUGUUGGGUCAGAUAAUUUGGAUUCACAGAGGAAAGAUAAGCCAGUUUGUCAGUUACGUGGAAAGGUGACAUUCAUAAAACUGCCACCUUGUUAAUGUACUUAUACCAAAAUAUGUCUGUCACCCAGUUUCAAAACCAGCUUUGGACAAUUCAGGGUUGCAUGGGGCCAAGAGCCUAUGCCAAUAGCAAUGCAGCAACCAACCUUGGUUGGGAUGACAGUACAUCCCAGGACACUCUUUCCCAUAAGGGGCAAAUUUAGAUAAAUUAAUCUAGGAGGAACACAAGAAUACCAGGGCCGAACUCAUUUAGACAUGGGGAGCAUAAGCAAACACAGCAGAGAUAACACCUAGGGCUCUGGAGCUGUGAGGCACCAGGGCCAUCCAUUCUGCCACCCUGUAUGUUGGCAUUUCGAGUUAUUCUUUUAUUUGCCUGCUUGUGCAAUGGUAUACUACUAUUACUCAUUUUCUCUUGCAAGUGUAUAUUCAUUUUAUUGUUAUUCUAUAUGCUGUACCAGAAAUUGACAUGAAUAAUUAAUUUCUUAGAUGAAGUUAAGGGGCAUCUGAUUUGUUACAGUCACAGCAAAUUAGACAAAGAGGAAAAUUUAUGAUAGCAAACGAUUUGUUACAAUAAAGUCAGAGUUGAAAAUACUCCAGUAAGAUUUAUAAAAACCUGAUCAAAACAUUAGCAGUGUGGCCUGAGCAUGGACACGGUGGACUGAUAUGAAUAGUACACAAGGGAAGGAUUUGCACGUAACACAAACACUUUGUUGUUUUUCUCCUCUGCCAUGAGAGUCAAAGACAGUGCCUCAGAUUAAGACCAGUGACCCUGCCUCUUACUCAACCCAUGAUCCCACCUCUGACCCUGCCUCAUCUGGGCUAAAUAAACCUCCAAGACAGG